AUGUACAGAGCAAGAACUUACAUUCAUUACCUGUGGCUACAGAGGCUGAUAAACCAUGGGCCUGGACUGGAGACAGAGCAGAUAUCAGAACUGACUGCUGUUAUGAAACCUGGAAGCAUUAGUUUGUUGUUUCAGCCAACGCAGAGAGACAGUGCAAGCUAUCAGAGCAGGAUGCAGUUGUGGACUUUUUGGAUGGUCCUACAUGCAGGUCAGGAUGGAGAGGGUGGACAUGAUGGGGGAAAUGAAGCACAGAUGAGUAAUGCUUGCAAGUUGGAUACAAAAUACAGCAUGAGGACACUCACACACUCAAUUUUUCUUUCAGUUUCUUUGUAGCUAGGACGAUGGGGAAUGACAACACAGGUUGAUCUAAAUUACAAACACACACACACAUCCCAUUCACACGACACAGUCCAUGCAGGUUUAGCCCACUGUGGUCUACUUUGGACUAACAGAGGAAUCUAUACUGCUGAUCCCAGCAGAGUAAAGAGAUCGUAGUUCCCAGCUACACCCUUGUCAUCUUCUCUAGUGGUUGAUUGCUACAUUGAGUACCUAUAUAAAUUCAGGGAAGUUUACAGAUUGACCAUGAUGGGCCCUGUAUGGUCAAGUUAGUCUCAGUCUACUUUAACUGUGAAUCAAUGCUCUAUUUAUGACAGAUGAAUGAGUUUGUUUAGUCUCAGCCUCUUGUACAGUAGCCCAGGUGAGUGUGGCCUGGCUGAUGCAGGUUAGUGGCCCACCUUGCUGCUCAGGACGGCGUAGUUAAUGAACUGCUCCGCCUCAGCCUCCAGCUCAUCCUGCAGAGAGCCAUCCAUGCUCACUGACCGCUCCUGACCCCCCUCGUCACCUGAGCCCUUCCCCCUGCGCACCACCUUCCGUACAAUCUGCACCGCACACACACACACACACACACACACACACACACACACACACACACACACACACACACACACACACACACACACACACACACACACACACACACACAGGGGAGGGAGGGGGAGGAGGAUGAGAGGAUGAGGGAGGGUGGUGGGAAAGAGAGCUUAAGAAGGAGAGAUUGGUACUCUUUUGGGUUCUCCCUGUGUACCAUUAAGGAACUUAAUGUCCUGGUUAUAUGUAUCCUUAUCAACCCCAUCCUUACUAAAUCUACCACCCACAACCUUUCAACCCCAUCCUUACUAAAACACCACCCACAACCUUUCAACCCCAUCCUUACUAAAAACACCACCCACAACCUUUCAACCCUAUCCUUACUAAAUCUACCACCCACAACCUUUCAACCCCAUCCUUACUAAAAACACCACCCACAACCUUUCAACCCCAUCCUUACUAAAUCUACCACCCACAACCUUGCAACCCCAUCCUUACUAAAUCUACCANNNNNNNNNNCCCCCCCCCCCCACAACCCCUAGUACUGUAGUGAAAGACAGGCCAUGCGCCAGCAGUCAUUCAUGCUGAUACAUAUAACAGGAAGCACGUUUUGGUUGCUAUUUUUUUUGUUGUCUGUGUUUGGUUUUGUUUUAUACGAAAUCAUGCACCUAGCCUAGUAGUUGACAUUUUUGGAUUGUUUCUUUUUUUAAAAAGGUAAGAAAACUAGGAGUAAAUCCACUUCGCUCUCGUGAUCGUCGGCUUUGCCGUGGUGGUUGUUGUUAUUAUGAAGUUAGUGUUUUGUUCGUUCCAAUCUCUCUUCUUUUCUCUCCAUUAUUCUCCUCCUCUUCAUUCCUCCUGUCACCUGCCGCCGGUCAUGUGUCUAAGUAGGAUUGUUUUGGUGUGGGGCUCAAAUCCUGGAGGGCAAGAGAACAGAGGUUAAUAUGGAGCAAGGACAAGGUUCCCAUCAGUGUGUAGAGAAUCAGACCCAACAGUUCUGUUGGAUCGGCAUGCAGGGUGCAGAAAUCAAGAACCCAGAG
rnacentral:lncRNA from 13 species